UACGUAGGGCGCAAGCAUUGUCCGGAAUUAUUGGGCGUAAAGAGCUCGUAGGCGGCUUGUCACGUCGGGUGUGAAAGCCCGGGGCUUAACCCCGGGUCUGCAUUCGAUACGGGCAGGCUAGAGUUCGGUAGGGGAGAUCGGAAUUCCUGGUGUAGCGGUGAAAUGCGCAGAUAUCAGGAGGAACACCGGUGGCGAAGGCGGGACUCUGGGCCGAUACUGACGCUGAGGAGCGAAAGCGUGGGGAGCGAACAGG
rnacentral:rRNA from 1 species